rnacentral:lncRNA from 1 species
UCCUCCAUCAGGACCUUCUGAGAGUCCCUUAGAUGGGUAGGAAUUGACUCCCCAGAGCAGGAGCAAGUGUCCAUUUCUUAUUCCCACCCAGCAUUGUGCACAAUGGUAGGAUACUACUGGUCCUCAGGGUUGUCAAUAAAAGUUUAAGUGUAAUAAUGAUAAUAAUAAUAAUGAUAAGCUUAAAAGAGUUUUACCAGUUAAACUGUUUGAAAAUGACAAUCUUGCUGCAUUUUUUGUGGGUUACUCUUGUCUUCUCAGGUGACCAGUAUAUUUGUUAUCUGGGCAUCUCUUUAGUUUUCCCUCAAUUUCCUGCAUCAUUUCGUCCAGUCAAUUUUUCUG